CGGCGAGAAGGGCAAACCCGCCGAAAGGCGGCGACGCAAAGCCACCGGGCUACAGCGCUCCACAGCGCCAUGCCAGCGGGGUUGCCGGC
rnacentral:ncRNA from 1 species